AUGAUUAAAGCCAUCACUAAGUUAGUGAGCAUCUCACCUUCUUUUCACUCUAUUAUGGAGAUCAGACCCUCCCAGUCUUCAGUGCACUCUAAAUACUGGCUAAUUCUGGCCAAUGGAAGGCAUCUGUGGAAGAAAAAAGCCUCCGGUCAUGUGGUAUCUGUCUUUAUUCACUGUAACAUAUUAGGUAAUGGUCACAGCCACUCACCAUGGCCGUUUUUAAUAACGACCCUGCUUUUGUGUUCCAGUAACUUCUGUUGUUUUCCUGAUCCUAAGUAUGAUAGAAACUUCCUGCUGCUGCUAAUCUCUGGGUUCCAUUUAAAAUCCUUCUGUCACAUGAACACUAUGUGCUGUACUAAAUUUUUCCAUAAUUAAAUACUUAGAAUCAUUUUUGCCUACUUAUUUUAGCCCUUAGUGAUAUGUUUUAAAAAACGCUUAUUUUUUUUUUUUUUUUUUGAGAGGGAGUCUCGCUCUGUCUCCCAGGCUGGAGUGCAGUGGCGCGAUCUCCGCUCACUGCAAGCUCCGUCGCCUCCUGGGUUCACGCCAUUCUCCUGCCUCAGCCUCCCGAGAAGCUGGGACUACAGGUGCCCGCCGCCACGCCUGGCUAAUUUUUCUGUAUUUUUAGUAGAGAUGGGGUUUCACUGUGUUCGCCAAGGUGAUCUCGAUCUCCUGACCUUGUGAUCCGCACGCCUCGGCCUCCCAAAGUGUUGGGAUUACAGGCGUGAAGCCACUGCACCUGGCCAAAAACACUUAUAAUGUGUUACAAUAUAUUUAGCAAAUGUAGGGAAUGACAUUUUUACUUUCGUCAGCAUUUUCACUAGCAUUUAUGUAGUAAUGCUAUCUCAAGUAUUUUUAGUCAUUUAAACGUUAUCUAAUAGAUAACGCUUUUGAUUCGUUUCUAUGUAAAUAUACUUGAGAUAUUCAGUAAAUAGUAUUUAAUAUAUGUUUCUUUUAUGUAAUAUAAAAUUUUGAUUUUUUUUUUAAACAGUGCAUCAUAUUUACUUGUUGGCUUUUUGAUAACUUAGAAAUAAUAUUCUGGAUUAACUGUGACUCGUGAGAGAGUUCGUGCAACUAUAAUGUUUCCAAAUUUACUUGAUUUUCAAGACUUACACUAGAACUGUGAGAACAAGGUAUUAAGCAUAUGUAUUAAUAUCACCUUUGGUCAACUCUUGGGUGGCCCCAAUGGUAGUGUAGGAAUUAACAUAAUUUUUCCUACUAAAAGUAUUGGAUUUGUUUUGAGAGACCACAGUUUAAAGUCAUUGACAUACAAAGUUGUUGGAUUAAAAAUUUUUAAUACAUUUGAAGUGGUUUUAUAGAAAAAUAAUUAUCUAAUCUGGUUUACAUUGAUAGGUUGUUUUCUUGGAUAAGAACUAGACGAAGAGAAAGGGAGAGUAGUGAUAAAUGUCCAGGUUUUCAAGUUGAAAAAUAACAAUCAGUGUAUUACAACGGAUGUGAUGUCAAAUUACAAAUGCUGAAAACGUUAUAUGUAAUCACGUAACCAGAGUAAUUAUAUAAGGUAAAGAACUGAAAGGCAUCCAAAUAGGAAAGAGGCUGGAGUGCAGUGGCACCAUUUCAGCUCACUGCAACCUCUGCCUCCUGGGUUCAAGCGAUUCUUCUGCCUCAGCCUCCCAAGUAGCUGGGAUUACAGGCGCGUGCCAGCACACCUGGCUAAUUUUUGUAUUUUUUUUAGUAGAGACAGGGUUUCAUCAUAUAGGCCAGGCUGGUGUCUAACCUCUGACCUCGUGAUCCACCUGCCUCACCCUCCCAAAGUACUGGGAUUAGAGGCAUGAGCCGCCGCGCCCAGCCAACAUAGAGAUAAUCUUUAAGAUUCCAUCAAAAAAAAAAAAAAAAAAAAAAAGCUGUUAGCUGAUAAACACAUUCAAAGUUGAGAGUUACAAAAUUAACAUAUAAAUAGUAUUAUUGUUUCUAUACACCAAUGACAAACUAUUAACUGAAAAACAAUAAAGUACUUCCAUUUAUAAUAGCAUAACAAAUAUAUAAGUUAAAAGACUAAUUUUGAAGAAGGAUGUGAAACAUUUGUAAACUGAAAAUUUAUAGCACUGUUGAAAGAAAUUGAAAGUGACAUAAAUAGAAAAAAUCUCGUAUUUAUGCAUUUGAAAAAAUUAAUACUGUCAAGAUUUCAGUGCUACCCAAAGCAGUCUACAGAUUAAAUGUAAGCACUAUCAAAAUCCAGUUCCAUUCUUCACAGAAGGAGAAAAAUUAGUCCCAAAAUCUGAAUGGAACCGCAGAAGAUGCUGAAAAACCAAAGCAAUCUUGAGCAAAAAGGACAAAGUUAGAGGCAUCAGACUACUUGAUUUCAAAUGAUACUAAAAAGUUAUAGUACUUAAAACAGCACAGCACUGGCAUAAAAACAGACACCUAGACCAGUGUGAGGGAAUACAGAACCUAUGAAUAAAUCCAUGUGUCUGUGGCCAAUUGAUUUUUGAUAAAAGGACAAAGAAUACACAAUGGGGAAAGAAAACUCUCUUCAAUAGAUAAUGUAGAGAAAAACUGACUAUUCACAUACAGAAGAAUAAAAUUGGAUCGUUGUUUCACUCUUUAUACCAACAUCAAAUAGCAAUGGAUGAAAGACUGAAAUAUAAACCUGAAACCAUAAACCCGAUGCAAGCAAAGAUAGGAGAAAACCGUAUGACAAUGGCCUGAGCUAUGAUUUUCUGCAGGUGACCCCAAAAGUACAGGCAACAAAAGCAAAAACAUACAAAUGAGAUUCCAUAAAACUAAGACGCUUCUCUGCACAGCAGAAGAAACAGUAAUAAAGAGACAACCCACAAAUGGGAAGAGAGAAUUUUUAAACCAUACAUCAGGUAAGGGUUUAUAUCAAUAAUAUGUAAGGAACUCAACCCAGAAAUGAGAAAGCAGGCUUACUAAAUAAGCAAAGGACUUGAGUAGACAUUUUCUAAAAACAGACAUACAAAAAGCCAGGUUUU
rnacentral:lncRNA from 1 species